CCCUACGGGGCGCAGCAGGCGCGAAAACUUUACAAUGCUGGAAACAGCGAUAAGGGGACCUCGAGUGCCAGGUUACAAAUCUGGCUGUCGUGAUGCCUAAAAAGCAUUGCAUAGCAAGGGCCGGGCAAGACCGGUGCCAGCCGCCGCGGUAACACCGGCGGCUCGAGUGGUAACCGUUAUUAUUGGGUCUAAAGGGUCUGUAGCCGGCCGGAUAAGUCUCUUGGGAAAUCUGGCAGCUUAACUGUCAGGCUUUCAGGAGAUACUGUCUGGCUCGAGGCCGGGAGAGGUGAGAGGUACUUCAGGGGUAGGGGUGAAAUCUUGUAAUCC
rnacentral:rRNA from 1 species